UACGUAGGGGGCAAGCGUUAUCCGGAAUUACUGGGUGUAAAGGGAGCGUAGACGGUAAUGCAAGUCUGGAGUGAAAGGCGGGGGCCCAACCCCCGGACUGCUCUGGAAACUGUGUAACUGGAGUGCAGGAGAGGCAGGCGGAAUUCCUAGUGUAGCGGUGAAAUGCGUAGAUAUUAGGAGGAACACCAGUGGCGAAGGCGGCCUGCUGGACUGUAACUGACGUUGAGGCUCGAAAGCGUGGGGAGCAAACAGG
rnacentral:rRNA from 1 species